GAUGAACGCUGGCGGCGUGCCUAAUACAUGCAAGUCGAGCGAACAGACGAGGAGCUUGCUCCUCUGACGUUAGCGGCGGACGGGUGAGUAACACGUGGAUAACCUACCUUUAAGACUGGGAUAACUUCGGGAAACCGGAGCUAAUACCGGAUAAUAUAUUGAACCGCAUGGUUCAAUAGUGAAAGACGGUUUUGCUGUCCCUUUUAGAUGGAUCCGCGCCGCAUUAGCUAGUUGUUAAGGUAACAGCUUACCAAGGCAACGAUGCGUAGCCGACCUGAGAGAGGGAUAGGCCACACUGGAACUGAGAAAAGGUCCAGACUCCUACGGGAGGCAGCAGGAGGGAAUCGUCCGCAAUGGGCGAAAGCCUGAAGGAGCAACGCCGCGUGAGUGAGGAAGGUCUUCGGAUCGUAAAACUCUGUUAUUAGGGAAGAACAAAUGUGUAAGUAACUAUGCACGUCUUGACGGUACCUAAUCAGAAAGCCACGGCUAACUACGUG
rnacentral:rRNA from 1 species